CUUUCCAUUGCACGGCACUUCAUUAUUUCUCCUUUUCCAUUCUUUCUUUUCCUUUUCUUUAUGUCUUUCUCCCUUCUACUCUCCCUCACACUCAUGCACACACUAACGCACAGAGAGUAAGAAAGAGAGGGAGAGAAAUACUGUGAAGGUGCCGAGAAAAGGAAGAAGAAAAAGAGAAGGAAAAAGAAGAAGAGAAGAAAGAAGGGGGGAAUCCGGCCAUAGGUGAUUUUUGAGAUACUGAUGUUUUGGCUGCAGGAUCAGCGGAUCUAGAGGAUGACCCCAUAGCACGGUAUUUGGGGUACUGUGACUGAGGCAUAUCGCUGGUGUCGUAGCUAUGUGGACUUGGGCGUCCCAUUUUGGUAGUCUUUUGCUGUUGGCUCGUGUCCUACGUGACACUUGUAUUUUGUAGAGCCAGUCUUUUGGUAUGUAAUUAAUGUUAAGUUUAAGCCUUAAACAUAUAGACUUAUGUAUGGCUCUUUAUAAUUAGCAAUUAUGUUAUAGAAGUGUUUUUCCGCUA